rnacentral:lncRNA from 1 species
UUAAAUAUGGUACAACGUCGUCCGCUACUUCGUCCGGCGGAAGGUAAAAAAUAAAAUUUCUGCCCAAAUUGCCCCUAAGUGUACGAGCCCAAUUUUCGAUUAUCUCCUUCGAUUUCCCUUCUGCGAGUGCCCUUCCUUCGACUUUCUCCUUUGAUUUCCCUUCUACGACUGUUGCGAUUUCGUCUGGCGGUUUCAACUAAACCCUCUCUUUCUCGAUUUUCUCCUUCGAAUUCGAUUCGUAAACCCUUCUGCGACUGCUGCGAUUUUGAUUCCUAAACCCCGAUUCCUUAACCCUGCUGCGACUGCUACGAUUUCAACUAAACCCUCCAUUUUACUAUGAAAAUCAAAAUAUGCUGCGAUUUCUAAACGAUUGCGAGCCUCUCUCCUUUUUUGAGCGAUUCCUCUGUUAAAUCGUCUAACCCUCAUGCUUGUUAUCUCUUUUUAAAGUUGGAUAUGGUUGUAGGAGAAGAGACAGAGACGAGCGACAUAGACAUAGGUCUGAGUCUCACCCUAUGGGCAGAUCUGAACAUAGAUCAAAGUCAAGAUCUCGUUCUCGUUCACGCUCAAAAAGGUUGGUUUUCCUUUUAUUUGGAAAUAGAUCUAGUUUGUGAUUUUAUGUGUAUAUUUGAGAAACUAUUAACUUUAUUAUUUAAUAGAUAGUACUGUAUGCAUGAUAAAUGUUAAGUUAGUUGUUAUGAUGAAGUUUACCUUUUGAUACUCUUGUCUUUAAACUGUAAGUUUUCUGCCUACUAUAUUCCCUAGUCACUGAUGCUAAAAUUUCAAGUUAAUCUGAUACUAUUGCUGCAAUUCUGACAACAAUUUGAAGCUCUGAACACGCGUGGGUUGCUAUUAUAGACUCUUUAUUAAGCUUGAUAUUAUGAAUUAUGCGAGUGAACUUGCAAGAGCCGGUUGGGUGUUAUAUGUAUAUGGGUUCUGGUGGUAAAGGAGUUUCAAGACAGUGACAGAUAACUGAAUUUUUUGAGACCAGUCUAGUUUUCCAUAUAAAUUUCUAAUCCCUGUAUUGUGAUUACAUGAGUUAAAUGUUUGGAAAAGGUAAUGCUAUGCCAUUCAUAGUGAACAAGUAAUAUGCUUCUAUCUUCAUUAUAAAAGCUUAAUAAAUAUGCUAUAGCUGAUAGUAUGUGCACUUGUGCAGGACAGUUUACUGUUGAAUGAUCGUUCAAAAAGUAUUGUGAUCUCACUCGUUGAUAAGAUCAAAUAAAAUCCUCUAUUCAUGUUGUAAUCCACUUUCAUCAUAAUUACAUGAGUUUCCUUCAAACAUAUAUUAUUCUCUCACUCGAUACUAAUAUCAAAUAAAGUUCUGUAUUCAUGUUGUAAUUGACUCUUACUAUAAUUACAUUAGUUUUGCAUUGUUUGUUGAAAUUUUCGACAUGAUUUGAUUUAGGUUAUCACUUGCUGUUUAUAUUACUGGUGUAUUUCUGCAGCAAAAGAAUUAGUGGGUUUGAUAUGGCCCCCCAGCUUCUACAAUAUUAGUUAGUGCUGCUGUUGAUGCUACUAUCGUUGCUGCAGGUACAUGUCUUGUCAUAUGUAAUUACAACUGAAUAUUUGAUAACUGCUAUUUUCUCUUUUGAAAUAGUGUGGAAAGUCCAUCCAAUGCAUGGUGUUAUUUUGGUAAGCGUACUUGGUUCUUUUAUUUGCAUCUGUUGCGAUAGUGUAAUCAUCAUUAGAUUGUCUGUAUUUUUUUGCAAUUCUUUGCUUGGUGAAAUAAUUCUGAAACUGAGAGUUUUUUGUUUUGUCUUGUGUUUCGUGUUUGUUUGUUUCUGUCUUGUUUUAUGUUUAAGAAGGCAAUGUUGGGCUUUGUUUUUUUUUAAAAAAAGAGAGGCAAUUCUAUUGUGAGAAUGUUUUAAAUUGGUUACCAAGAAUAAUGGGGAAUUCUAGCUUCGGCUUGGGGAAUGGGUAAAAGUAGAUCCCAACUUUGGUUUAAUGAUCAAUGCUCCAUAGACGGUGGCUCUAAUCCAUCUACUAUGAGCAUUCCACCACAAUGUACCCUCCUGAUCUUGUAUUGUGAAUAGGUAUGUGUAAGUCACUCCUGGUUGGAUAGGACACUGAGUAACAUAUUCAGGUCUAUCUGCCCAUGCGGUUCGCAACUAACAAAUCCCAUGCCUGAAGGAUAAUAAGUAAUUGAUUUUUAUUUUUUGCAAAAUAUGUUCUCUAAAAAUAUGAUAAUAAAUCUGAUACUAUGAAUUGGCCUUAAAAAACUAAUUGAAUUUUUUUUUUGCAGUGCAACCUGGCUUAUGUUACCAAUGUAUUGGCAGUAAACCUACAGGUUCUUCCCACUUAUCAACUUUAAGGAUUGGAUUUUGACAGCAUUAUGUAACUGAUGUCAUUGCGCAAGUUUUGGAAUUCAAGUGCUAAUUGCUUGUUUAGUCAGUUACAUUGUUUGUAGAUUAUAUAAUUGUUUCAGAUAUAGGUGAGCUUAUAGAUUUUGUAAGGGUUGAAAAAUUGGUGCAACUCACUAACAGUGUAGAUUUCAAUAUUAGAUUUGGCUUGUCUAAUUAUGCUUGCCAUGGAUCAUUGUAACACUUCUACAAAUUCUUUUUGUAAUAUUACAUAUUAAUAUAUUCGAUUUAUUUUUUUUCUUUUUGUAAUAUUAUUUUUUCCGUACGAUUGAUAUUUGGAAAUUCAAGCUCUAAAUCAUUCACUAAUUGUGAGUAAUUUAUCUAAUGUAACUUUUGAGAAAUAAUGAAUCAUGUUGAUAAAUCAAAAUAUAUAAACAAAAAUAAAUAGUUUUGUCAUUACAUAAUCAUAAAAUCACAUAUUAAGAUAAUUUUUGUGAUUUUAAUUUGAUUGCAUAUUGGAUUGUUAUAGCCAACGUCUCUAUUGCAUAUUGGACUGUUGCUUGGAUUUGAAAAGUUUUUUUUACCAUCCGCUUGUUGGUCUGGCGGAUGGUCUUUAAUAUUUUUCACCUUCCACUACAUUGCCAUAUUUAAUCCGCGCCUUUGAUUAUUUGAAUGGAUGGUUAUAAUGUUAUUUGUCUAAUUUUUAUCCAUAGCAAAUAUUUGCUAUUGAUCAUUUCCAUAUAUAUAUAUAUAUUUAAUCCCGUACAUAUUUCACACGAGUUACAAAGUAUAAAAAAAUAUAUCCUUAUUUACAUUGUGACCUAAAUCCUUAGAUUAUACUUAAUUCUUAAAUUAAGCAAAAAUUUCUGGGUCGCCACAGAGUUGUUACCAUAAGCAAAGGUGGCGCGGCCGCGCCAGGGACUGAUCAAACCGAGUAAAGAAUGUUUAAAAGGAUGGUCCACGGGAGUCAUAUAAUAUUAAUCCUGAUGAUCAUUAAACCUCUAAGAUGAAGUUAUAUCGAGCCUUAAGGACUUAACUUAAUGUUAGGUAACAAUUAAGUGAGGUAUAAUAAAACAUACAAUGAAAGCUAACAAAAUUAAAUUAAUAAACCUUACGUCCUAUUAAACUUUAAACAGUUAUUUAAAUAUUAAGUGUCGAUUAAAAGAUAAAGAAUCAUGGAACGUGCUGUGAAGUUAAUAAAAACGUUUAGUAAGUGUUGAUAUGUAACUAAUUUUUAUAUUUACAUGACUUGAAUGUGUAGGGUAUUUAAAGGGUUUGUAUCAUAACUUCGUAAUGAACGCAUAAGGCAAGUUUUGCUUAUUUUUUAAUAUUGAGCAAAGUUUCCUAGCUCGUACUAUUCCUUUGUACUUGUAUAAAUUUCCUAUGUACAUGCAAACUUUCUAAUUCUUUCCGAAAGCAUUACUUUGAUAAAUAAUACUCGUUCAAUUAUGAAUCGUUGAAACUCUAUUCAAAACAAUAUGGCAUAUUAAUGCGCAAUAACUUGAGAUGAUAUUGUUAUCAAAUCUUUGAUUAAUUAUUGAAUCCAUUUAAUUUGGUUAGUCCAUAAUCGAUGAACGUUCUAAAAGUUUAGAAUUCUUUCUGAAGUUAUUCUAAACCAAAUUGUCUUUGGUGAGAAUUCCUAUGAUAAAGAUGAGAAGAACAACCCUAUUUUAAGCGUACAUGUUAUCGGAAACUAUAAUUCUGAUCUACAUAAUAGCGAUAAUAUGUUUGUGAAAAAUACAUAGUAUGAUGGGUUGAUCACCUGGAGUACGAGGAUGGAUAGUCCACAGUCUCUUGACUAUUAAACGGUUAUAGUAGAAGUACUUGUAAUCCUAGGACAAAGUUCAUUGUGAUCCCUCAGUAUAUACAUCUGAAGUCAAUACCUAUGAUUUGAUUUGGAGAUCGAUUAUUUCAUUGAAUUCACAAGUUCUUAAUUAAUGGUAGAUUUAUUCCAAUAAUGGACUUUUUAUUCAUCUCAAGAAUAAUCAUUUGUCUCAUUCAAAAGCUAUUUAUUGUAUAUCAUUAUACUUGUGGGCAAUUUGUUUGCUCACCCUUUCAUAAAAUAUUCCAUCUAGGUUCGAGGAACCUAAGAAGCCUUUUUCGAGCAAAGGCAAGGCAAGAUACAGGAAUAAACGACUCUUAGCUUAUCUUUUAUUGGUGAUGUGUUGUGUAAUGGAUUUAUUUAUAUUUUCUGCUAUUAUGAUAUAAUAAUAAAGGUUAGUUGACCUGAGAUACGUUUAUGUAUGUAACCUCUUAAUAAGGAUUGUCAUGGAUUAUGUUUAAUAUCCUAUUUAAUGGGUAGUUCAGAUGUUUUAAGUGUUGGAUCGUGGGCGCAAGAUCUGUGGGUUGAGGUACCCGUAUUUAGGGGCGUCACAAGUUGGUAUAAAAGUUGUAGGUUAUAAAACUUAUGUGGGGAAACCAUAGGCUAUAUCCUUAUAGGAAAUCGAGAAUAUAGCAGUUGGUAAAACUCCUAUCGAGUUCUAAGGAUUGAAUUAAGGAAAUACAUUGAAGAUAAAUAAUAAAAUGAUUUAUGUGUUUACUUGUUGAUAAUAGAUGUCGAUGCCAGAAAGAUUUUAUCCCUCUUCCUAUAUGUUUCUUACCCUUUACAUUUUCAAUGUGAAUUUGUUUGAUCUGAAGGGUGAGAUUUUUAGGAAAAGACCGAAAUAUGAUGUUGACGAUUUGAAAAGAUUGGUCUAAAUUAGAUAGAGCCGCCAGUUGAUAUGAGUUAAAUAGAUGUACCAACUCGACUAAGUUUUGAAAGAUUUUGUAAUAUGGCCCACUAUUGGACUCUUUUUAAUUGGUGUUGGAAACCAAGAUUCAUAGAGUUCAGGGGCUUGAUUAAGCGAGAGGAAGGUUUUAGGCACCCCCUGACUUCUAUGAAACACGGUUACCGCGCUUUUUGUUCCCUAGUUUGUGUGUAUGUGUGUGUAUAUUACAGUUAAUUGUGCCUAAGUGCUUUAUUUGGAAGCAGUGAUAUGCCUCUUUUGCACCUAUAUACAAAUGGAUUAACUUGUAUAAAAGUUCAAUUUUAAUACAAGAUAUUAUUGGGUAAAAUCUAUAUACGCACAACACGCAAAUAUACGUGGUCAACAAGUAAUAUAGUAAUGAGUAGAGUAUCGUUCCCACAGAGACAAACUAGUAAGAAACUUAAACUUACAAGUACCAAUUUCCUAUUAAUCCUAAUUUUAUUAAACUAGUCAAUUCAAUGAUUAUAAUUAAAGAAACUAAAUUAAGAAAUAAAUACAUAACAACAAACCAAUCGCAAAUAUUAAAAUCUAGAAUUUCAAAAAAUUAAUGGAGAAUUAGACUUAUGAUUUUAUCCUAAGCUUCACUAUGAUUUUAACACCUUUAUUCCAAUUCAAUUCAUUAUCCCAGCUUAUUAAUCAAGAACACAAAUGUAGUAAUAGCCACCUCUCAAUGCACUAAUAUCGUAUUAACUUAAAUCCACAAAUUAGAUAGAAACAAGUUAAACACCUUAAUCAACUAACUCACUAUAUCUCUAUGCGAAUUACAAUUAAAGAAGGUUUAAGAUUAAGUUCUCUAUCCGACUACAUGCGAUGUCAAGCAUAUCUCUACCUUAACAUUCAUCAAGAUUCUGCUAUUCACAAAAUUCAUGAACACAUGCUAUAUUAACAAAGUCUAGAUUUGAAUAUCCUCUCUCGAUUCCAUACAAAUCCACAAAGAAUUAUUGAUCAGGCAAUUCAUAAAUUCAAGCUCAAAUUAAUAUAGAUAAACUGGAAAAUAGCUUAUUGAACUGGAAAUCAAAGUUUACAAAAUCAUCGAUUCACUUAAGGAUCCAUCAUAAGCCUAAAAAAUGAAUUAGUUCAUCAUAAAUGAAAUAAAUACUUAAUAAAUCAAAGAUAACAUUCUUUCAAUUACAAAUAAUAGUCUAAGAAGAAGAAUAUUGAAAAACACCCUUCAUGUAACCUAUAAUUGCAAUCGUCCUGAAAAUCUCUUCAAAAUCUUCCUCCAAUGUUGCUGUGAAAAAUCUGGAAUUUUUCUUUGUAAUAUCCCUUGUCUGUCGUUUAAUUCGUUGUUAAUAGAGUAAUAGAUGUCCAACACACAAGCCCCAGUCGAAAUUCCCCAUCAAGUAGAGUCCACAUACAAUCCAAACACUUAGCAUCCAUGUUCCAGUAGAGUUUCAAGAAAAACAUAACACUCAGAAUCCGGCACCCCCUGCCCCGGCGGGCUACCAAUAUGCUAAAUUCAUAUGAAGACCCCCCGCCCUGACGGGGGUAUACAAGCUAAAUAGGCCCGCCCCGGUGGGGGUUUAUUAUGCUAAAUGACUUUGCUUGCUUCAAGAUAACUUCCAAAAAUACUCCAAUUGACUCCAAAUGAUUCCAAAUGACUCCAAAUCUUCGUUAAAUGUCGCAACAACCAUCCUACACAUAAAAGCACAAGAAAAGAACAACAAAUAAGCAUGAAAUGGACAACGAUAAGUGGAUAUGAAAUCCACUUAUCAAAAUCCCCCAAACUUAAACCGUGCCAGUCCUCGAGCACAAAAUAACUACAUGCUAUGCAAUGCAAUACAAUGAGAUGGAAUGAAUAUGAUCUAAUUUAUAUGCUUCCAAAUCCAACAAUAUCGCAGAAUCAAAAUUAUUUUAACGGCCUUAGAGAAAACAAGCAAACGCUACAAUAUCAAUCACCAAAACCAAUCUAUAAUUCCGUAUUAAUUCUCAAAUCUUAAACCAUCAUCACUGGUAUAGUGUGCGUGUGUGUUCAACAUCCAUGAUAUCUGCUACGGAUUCAAACUCAAUACAUAACCAAUUUCUUAGAAGGAAUCACACAGUGCAAACUCAAAAUUGUCAAGAAUAAGCUCAUUCCAACUAAAACUAAGCAAUACCAAACUCAAGGGUUCAUGAAAGGUUAUACUUCAUUUAUCUACUUUUUUUUCACACGGGGGCUUUUUGCUCUUUUCCCGUUUUAUUGUUUUUUUUAUAUAUAUACAUACAUGACUGUGCAAUGUCUCAUCCCAUUAGGCUGACAGUGCUACCCCUUAGCGAGCUUUCGACCAACGACUCCCAGAUCAUAAAAAACCUUAGGGCGCUAGGUGUAAAGACAAUUCCCUCGGGCGUACUUGCUCAAGUAAAAAAGGCCCCGAAACAAGACUAGUCACAAUAUAUACUUUUUUUUCAAAGCUUAUAUACCCCACAUAUAUCCCCCAAACUUAAGUUCUUGCCUAAUUUUGGCCUUUACUGCUUAUCCUUGUCGUUUUCUCAUUUCCUCUAGCAUUAUCCUUUAGAAACUAUUUAUGUCCCGAUUUGAACUGACCAGCCAACAAAGAUGUUAUUAAUCGUGCUAACCUUUUUAUACCAGUUUCAAACGAGCGCAAGAUUCAAUUCAUAACAGAAAUUGUAUCACAGUUCUAGUAAUCAAUGCUGUAUUGGUUAACUUAUUCUCAAUCUCAUCAUUGGCCCACAAAUAACAUGAACUACAACACUGCUGGACAUAUGAAAACACAAUAUUAAACAAAUUAUUUUAUUUUAUUUUUUAACAAAAUGCGAUCAUAACAGAAUUAAAAACAAUGCAAUAACAAAAAUAACCUAAGCUACUAUAUAUGUACCUAACCUAUAUGCAACAUCAUAAAUCCUAAUUACCAUGCAAAACUGAAAUUAACAUGACAAAUUUAAACCUAAGUAUUAUAUAUGCAUGUAAACAUGAAUUUAAAUCCCCCAAACUUAAGUAAUACAAUGUCCUCAUUGGAUGAAUAAUCAUAAUUAAGUACGUGAGGACUUCCCUGCUAUCGCUUAAGUCUGAGGAGGUGGUUGUUGAUCUUCUUCUUCAGAAUCACUUGGUGGAAACCUCAGCAUUGGCAUGGGCUUCUGAUAUGGAAAUUAUGCAGCGGGAUUGAAGCUCUGAAGGGUUGUGUUGAGUGAGGUGAAAGACACGUUUAUAACAUCAAACAUGUGGUCUUGCCUCAAUGUGAGUCGCCGCAUCUCCCGAUGUGCUGCCUUGUUGUGCGCAUUUAUUUGACUUUGAAAAUCAAGGAACUGAGGACUGGAUAGUGCCUCGGUCUGCGGUACCUGCUCGGCUCCUUGAUCUCCCAUAGCUUCAUCCUCAUACUUUGACGUGUCUGCAACCUCAAAUUCAUCCUCCGAAGCCGAUGGAAAAAUAAAGCCCAGUCCACGAGGAUGUGAAUCGCUUCCUGCCUAUACAGAAUACCGCACUAUCAUUCUGGAGUCUAGCAACACAAGCGACAUCUGUGUGGGCUCAUCAUCGGACCAUCGCACCCUUGCUUGAUGACACAACCCACAUAUGAGUGCUGGCUGUGGCAAGCCUCCCGAAAAAUUUCCACGUAAACACCAGCGGAUGGAGAAACAAAUAAUGGCUUCGACGUCGAUGAUGAAGUCUUGCACAAUUGCGUAUAGCAGUAACGCCUUCUCUUUGGUCACGUCUGAGGUGUGUUAGGACGGAUACAGUUUAGCACAUAGGAAUGCGUACCAGAUUUUUCUAUACCGACUGAGGUCCUUGCUAUAGAACACUGUGCCUCCCUUCCGACCUUUGAUCCAUGUUGUUCCCAGCUUAGUCAUCUCCUUGAGUAUUGCCUCAUAGUCCUGAUCAAAAUCUUGUAGAUGAGAAUAUUGGCAGUGGCAAGGUACCCGCAGCUGAUAAUAGGUGUUUAUUGCAUCGACACUGAACAGAACCAAGCGACCCCGUACAAACGCAUUGAAUGAAGCUUUAUCCUCAGCGUUUGCAUAAAAUUCCUUGACUAUGUUUACGACGGCGGAUUCUGGCUCUUCUGUGAAUUUUGUCCACCCCUUCUGAUAGAUUUGAGGCAUCAUCUCCCCAUCACUGGGAUCCGGUGCCAACCCCCGCUCCGGUGUAAGGGCUUUGGUGAGCAUGUACUCAUACUGUUCGGCGGCGGUGGCACUCAUAAAUUUUCAGCGAUCAAAGGUUUGGGUUGGUUUUGCGGGCCUUGAACUCUCUCCCCUUUGAUGUUUCGAUGUUGGUUGCGAAGCCAUGUGCUCUCUAUUGCUUGUCUCACAAUACCUUGCCUCUCCAAACGUGGUUCACCCACUUCAUUGAACACUUGGUGUGCAUUGAUGAUUAUCCCCCAAACUUGGCAAUUAUAUGUGGUAAAUAAGGUGAAUGAGGUUGAGGAACUCAAAAAGAGUGACAUGCUUGCCUCGCAAUUGCUCACAAUUAGCCUCUAUGAAUGCCCUAAUUCGAAAAUUGUUGAGUGUAGUUGAAGAGUGUUGUGAGGAAUAUGGGAUGAGAUGUGGUAAUAUAUAGAGGUGGUGUGAGGGGGUUUAUUGAUGGAUUGAAGAGGUGGGGAGAGGUAGUGGAGCAUUGGAAAUCGUGGGUGUAGUGGGUGGUGGUUGGAGUUAUGAUGGGGAGAUUUAAUUGAAUUAGAAAUUGUGGAGUCUAGCACAUAGAUAACUACCGAGAAGUCAGUUGAGUUCUAGGACCCCCGCCCCGGCGGGGGGUAUUAGUCUUAGAAAGCCCACCCCGGCUGGUAUAGCUACUAUUAAUUGGAAUUGAGGACCCCCGCCCCGNNNNNNNNNNNNNNNNNNNNNNNNNNNNNNNNNNNNNNNNNNNNNNNNNNNNNNNNNNNNNNNNNNNNNNNNNNNNNNNNNNNNNNNNNNNNNNNNNNNNNNNNNNNNNNNNNNNNNNNNNNNNNNNNNNNNNNNNNNNNNNNNNNNNNNNNNNNNNNNNNNNNNNNNNNNNNNNNNNNNNNNNNNNNNNNNNNNNNNNNNNNNNNNNNNNNNNNNNNNNNNNNNNNNNNNNNNNNNNNNNNNNNNNNNNNNNNNNNNNNNNNNNNNNNNNNNNNNNNNNNNNNNNNNNNNNNNNNNNNNNNNNNNNNNNNNNNNNNNNNNNNNNNNNNNNNNNNNNNNNNNNNNNNNNNNNNNNNNNNNNNNNNNNNNNNNNNNNNNNNCCAGGGGGCAUGCCUUCUGUCUAAUUUCUAGAGAGACCCCCGCCCCGGCGGGCCUGGCUUCUGCUAAACUCUUUUGUUAAUCAAUUUUUUUCAUUGUAACCCACUCAAUGCUCCUUUUUCCAUCCUGCAAGACAUAAAACAUAAGCAUUAGUGGAUUAUUGAUAACAUAGUGUAUUGUAAAGAGAUUAACAAGACUUUUAUUAAAUAAUACUACCUAAUAACUUAAUAAAAACUAUAUUCUACAAUUAUGAAUGAAAAAUACGAGAAAUAAACUAAAGAUUGGGUUGCCUCCCAAAUAGCGCUUGAUUUUAAGUCGUUCAGCCUGACUAUUCCCUGUUCAUGGUGCGUCAGUCAAUGUAAUGGCGAUGACAUAGGUGUCGACCUUGCCACCCCAAUAGUGUUUUAAACAUUGACCGUUGACUUUAAACGUUUUUAAUGGAUUGCGACUGUAGAGUUCAAUGACGCCAUGAGAGAAUACCCGCUUUAUAGUGAAUGGUCCCAACCAUCUCGACUUGAGCUUUCCUGGGAACAAUCACAGUCAUGAGUUGAACAAAAGGACUGAUUGACCCAGCUCGAAUGUUCGAUGCAUAAUUUUAUGGUCAUGCCAUCUUUUUACCUUUUCUUUGUAUAAAAUUUGGAGUUCUCAUAGGCGUGAAGGCAAAAUUUGUCGAGCUCAUUCAGUUGAAGUAGUCUCUUUUCCCCGACAACUGCUUGAUCGAAAUUGAGUUUUUGAAUCGCCCAAUAAGCCUUAUGCUGUGGCUCGACUGGUAGGUGAUAAGCCUUUCCGUACAGUAGUUGGUAUGGUGACAUCCCGAGUGGUGUCUUAUACGCGGUCCGGUAUGCCCAUAAUGCAUCUUCCAACCAGAGAGACCAAUCCUUACAACUCAGAUUCACCACUUUCUCCAAUAUUUUCUUGACUUCCCUAUUUGACACCUCAACCUGCCCACUGGUUUGGGGGUGAUAAGCUGUCGCUACCUUGUGGUAGACCCCAUACCUUGCCAAAAGAGCUGUGAAGGACUUAUUGCAGAAGUGACUACCUUCGUCACUUAUAAUUGCUCUAGGCGUGCCAAAUCUUGUGAAAAUGUUUUUCUGUAGGAAUUUGAGGACCACCUUGGCAUCGUUUGAUGGUAGUCCUGCAGCUUCAACCCACUUUGAUACGUAAUCAACUGCAAAGAGAAUGUAUUGAUUGUUGAGUGACGACGGGAAUGGCCCAGUGAAAUUAAUGCCCCAUAUAUCAAAAAUUUCAACUUCUAGAAUCAUUUGUAGAGGCAUUUCAUUCUUUUUUGAAAUAUUGCCCACCCUUUGACACCUAUCGCAAUAUUUGACAAAAUGAUGGGCGUUCUUGAAUAGUGUAGGCCAAUAGAACUCGGCUUGCAGCACCUUUGCUGCUGUCCUCUCACUACCAUAAUGACCGCCAUAUGCAGAUGACUGACACUCAUGCAAAAUGUUCUUCACUUCACUGUAGGGCACACACCUUCUAAUCAUUUUGUCGGCGCACUGCUUGAACAAAUACGGUUCAUCCCACAUGUACCAUUUUACAUCAUGAAGAAACUUCUUUUUCUGUUGUCUUGUGAGAUCAGGUGGAAGAAUGUUGCUCACAAGAUAAUUCGCAUACCAAGGAAAUUCUGCAGAAAUCCCAAAUAAUUGCUCAUCCGGGAAUGAUUCGUUAAUUUCACACCUGUCUUCUUUCGAUUUCCCUUAGUUUUCCAGCCUAGACAAGUGAUCGGCUACUUGAUUCUUCGUCCCCUUUCUAUCCUUUAUUUCUAAGUCAAACUCAUGAAGUAGGAGAAUCCAUCGGAUAAGGCGUGGCUUAGCAUCUUUUUUCGCUAUUAGGUACCAAAUAGCCGAAUGGUUCGUGUAGACUAUCACCUUAGUCCCGAUCAAGUAUAUCCAGAAUUUGUCGAACGCAUACACUACUGCAAACAAUUCCUUUUGCGUGGUUAUGUAGUUCAUUUGAGUCUCUGUGAGUGUUUUGCUUGCAUAGUAUAUGGCGUGAAACACCUUGUUUUGGCGUUGACCCAAAACAGCCCCAACCGCAUACUCACUUGCAUCACACAUCAGCUCGAACGACAUAUUCCAAUCUGGUGUGACGAUCACGGGGGCUGUAGUCAAUUUCUUCUUCAAUAAUUCAAAAGCUGACUUGCAUUCCUCAUCAAAACUGAAAAUAACAUCCUUCUCUAAAAGACUGCAUAAAGGUUUUCCAAUUUUAGAGAAGUCUUUUAUGAACCUCCUGUAGAACCCAGCAUGUCCCAUAAAACUUCUAAUACACUUAACUGAACUCGGUGGAGGCAGUUUCUCGAUUGUUUCUAACUUUGCUUUGUCAACCUCCAAUCCUUGAGCCAAUACCUUAUGGCCCAAAAUUAUGCCCUCCUCAACCAUAAAGUGGCAUUUUUCCCAAUUGAGUACGAGGUUCGUAUCUUUGCAUCGCUGUAACACCAUUACCAAAUUCCCUAGGCAAGUAUCAAAGUUAUCCCCAUAGACAGAAAAGUCGUCCAUGAAGACUUCAACAUUUUUCUCCACCAUCUCUGAGAAAAUGGCCAUCAUACACCGUUGAAAGGUCGCAGGUGCAUUACAUAACCCGAAUGACAUUCUCCUGAACGCAAAUGUGCCGUAAGGGCAUGUAAAUGUCGUCUUUUCUUAAUCCUCCGGAGUGAUGACUAUCUGGUUAUAACCCGAGUAUCCAUCCAAUAAAUAGUAAUACUCAUGUCCCACCAAUCUGUCCAACAUUUGAUCAAUAAAGGGCAGCGGGAAAUGAUCUUUUUGGGUUGCCUUAUUCAACUUCCUAUAAUCCAUGCACACCCUCCAACCUGUCACUGUUCUUAUCGGUAUUAACUCAUUAUCCUCAUUCUGCAGCACAGUCAUUCCUCCCUUUUUUGGCACGCACUAGACCGGACGAACCCACUUACUGUCGGAAAUCGGGUAGAUGAUACCGGCAUCCAAUGACUUCAAAAUUUCCUUCUUCACAACUUCCUUCAUAAUAGGGUUGAGUCGACGUUGUUGCUCCACCGUUGGUUUUGCAUCAUCUUCCAUUGGAAUCUUGUGCAUGCAAAUGAAGGGCUAAUUCCCUUUAUAUCCGUUGGUUUUCACUAUUAUGGGGAUCUUAAAUCUAGAUAACCGUUUUAAGGUCCUAGAUUUACAAGUACAAAAUUUGCAAGCUAGCUGUACAACUGAAAAUGGUUGAUCAUGGGAACCAGAUAUAGAUCCGUCAGCUGGAUCUUAGAUCGCGUGGCUCGUAGGCUCACAUAAUAUCACAUAAAUAGCAUGCAUAGCCAAUAUACUGAAAUAAAACAGAUAUAUUUACUCUAAACGUUGCAAAACAAAUGAUUCAUCAGUGAAAUCCUUUCCUAGCAUCCUCCAGAUACAGAUCUAGGGCCGUGUGCUUGCUAAAUAUUUACAAAUCUUCUCCAUUCUAGCUUUUUGGUUUAAGUUUCACAACUAUUGAACUGGUUAAAAUCUACAUCUGACUAGAUCUAGUACAGAUCUAGUCAAAAAAGUUCAAAUAUUAACUAUUUACAAGAAAUGAAUAGUUAAAACUUCAAAUCUAACGAAUAUUAACCAUUUAAAAAGUAUAUAUAUCGCUCAUAUACGUAUUAGAGCAAGCGAAGAAGCCAGAUAUAGUGAAAUCUUACAGUUAGGCAUGAGAAUGGCUAUCGAAUGCCUUUAAGCGCCUCAAAACUCAUUUUGAAACGGUUAAAACUUGAUAUUUAUAUAUAUAUAUAUAUAUAUAUAUAUGUAUAAGAGUAUUUACAAAGAAGUUUUACAGGAAUCAGAGCACGAUUUGAGCUCUGUUUAGCUAUUCUAGCCUCUAUUGCUCUCACCUGGGCCCUCUUCUUUCCUAAUCUUCUCUUCGAAUCCAAAGAGAGGAGGGGGUAUAUAUAGACCCGAUCAACCGUGGGUCUACCUGCGGCUGACCCUGGUGGGCCCAGCCUGGUGGGUCCCGUAGUCUUGAAGUACGUGCACUUUGACAAACAUGCAGUUUGUUUGAACCUUCAUAACUUUCAUUCCAGGAAUUCGAUAUAGGCGUGCUAUACCUUUCCCUAAAGCCCUUUCCGAGAGCUACACAUGAAUAACAUGAGAUUUGACAUUUUCUGAAUCCAGGAAGAAGGGUCCAUGACCAGAUCUUCGAGUCUUCGCAGUCGAUCCGUUAAGCUGUCUUGAGCCGUUUUCACUCGAGAUUACUGUUAUGGUCCUGCGUGACCUUCUUCAUGGUAAUUUGAUCAGUUUUGAUGUUAAGUUGGCAAAAUUACUCAUUUUCCCUUCUGGGUUGAUUUCUAGGCUUGAUAUGUUACAGUUAUCUUUCCUCAAGGUUGUCUCUAGGGUCUGACGGCUGUUAACUUCUGUCUGUCCUCAGGGUUAUUUUUGAAGUUGAUUUGAUGUCCCAAGGGGCUGUCUCCAGAGGUCUGGUUUGAUGAUUUUGUAACGCCCCAGAAAAUCGAACAUUUUGUAAAUACUUUUAAUAAUGAAUAAAAUAUUAUUAUUUAUUAUUAUUACGUGUUGAUAAGAUGAAUGUCGUUCUAUAACCUAGAAACGUUGGAAUGACGUAGUAUUUUAACUACGUGAGAGAAUUAAAGUGUUUGAAUUUCUAAGACGAAAAUAAAAGCUUUCUGAGAAAUUUUCCGAAAAACAUUAUUCAUCGAUUUCUGCUCGGGAAUUAUUUUUGAACUUCCGAGAAAUACAUAAUGUUAUAAUAUCAAGGUGAUAUUGAUUAUGUAAUAAUAAUCUAAGUAUAAAAAACAUAAUAUUUUGCAUGCGGACUUAAUUUGAGAAGGUUAGGAAUAUUGAGCGUUAAGAAAAUAAUGUAUUAAUCGAAUGAUGCGUAGGCAUUAUGUGAGUUAUUGAACGUAAGUAUGGUACGACGUAUUAUACUAUUAAGUAUGGAGAAAGGAAUAACGUAUAUUAUAAUUUAGUAUACGAGCUAGCAUACGAGAAUUAUACGUGGUGUAUAUAUGUCAAGGUUCUUAAGUAAAUGGAAUGGACUUGUAGGAUUAUUAGCAUAAUGGUAGAAGUCCAAUAGGAAGCGAUAUGCAAGCCCAAGUGUUUGUUAAUCAUGAGUCCAAACUAGUGUAAUGAAAGCCCAACAAGAAAUAAGCUAGAUAAUUAGCAAGCCCAAUGGGUUAAGCCAUGAUCCAUGGAGCAAACCAAGAGUGAUAUGGGUAGAAUUGAUGGGCAAGAAUUUUGUGUGAUGAUCAAGUGUUGUGAUGAUCAAGUAAUAGAUGUGGCUAGAAAGUUACUUAGUUGUAAAGUAAUGAAUAGUAAGGAGGUUAGUUAAGGAGGUGCAAGGCCUAAAUGACUAUAAUGCCCUAACUUUGAGAGCUCUAUAAAUAGUAAGCUCACAAUUCAAUUGUUGCUUGAUUAAAAUUCAUUCAACACCUCUCAAGUUAAGUGCUUAAGUGUUAGAGAGAAUAAGCUCAAAUAAGUCAAGAAUAAGUCAUUCAUCCUUUGCUAGAUUUUCCAAAGAGAAGAGAAGUAAUAGUCUUCAAGGGUAAGACUCUUGUCUAUUAUACCUUCAUCUCUAUCAUUGUAGAUUGAUAGAGAAGUGUAGCUUAAUGAACUUGUAUGCUAGGAUCAUUUAAGAAAUGAUUAAUGAAUGAACUUAAGCCGAAUAAGUUGAAUAAGCAACUUGAACUUAAAUAAAGUUGAUAAACUUGUGAAGAACUUAUCAUAUGUUUGUCAUAUGAUGUUAGUAUAUUCAUUAUGGUAUGAGAACAUUGAUUGAAGGACUUAAAUCCAUAUUAAGUCAUAAGCAAGAAAAUUUGUAGGUUAUAAGUUGAAUAAGUCAAAACUUACUUUGAUAAUAAGUUGGUGUAAUAAGUAACUUGAAAUGUUGGUAUGAUGAUUAAAAUCCAUUUAGAAUGAUAAUCAAAUCAUUAGUAAUGAGGUUUUGCCGGAAUUCACACGAUUGGACGAUUCUCGAAAUGGAAGUUGUAUUUUGUGUUUGAACUCGAAAAACGUUGGUUUUUAAUGGAGACAUGUAAUAUUUGGCAUUAUAGAGUUGCGAACUCGAAAAUGACCGAAUUCUGACUUAGAACCAAGAAACGAGCGUUGAACGUUCACGAACGUUUAUCGUUUUCGUUAAAAAUGAACUAAUAGGUGAAAUUUUAGCAAACAAAGUCAAAUAGAUAAAAUUCUUGCAUGAAUGCAUAGAGUAUGUAAUUUGUGAACCGUAGGCUUUUGAACGAGCCAAUUCGGACUUAUAACGAAGAAGUUAUGCGUCCGGGAGUUUCACAAAAUUUUCAAAAGCUAUAAAUUUUCUAAGGCACAGAGUUGGCACCGCGGCGCCAACCCAAGGUCAAAAGAUGGCGCCGCAGUGCCAGACACAGUGUCUGAACCUACUGAACUUUUGCACCGCAGCGCGACAUGAAGAACAAAGAUUCGCGCUGUAGCGCUGAGUCCGGGACUUGCCUAUUGUUAACUAGCGCCGCAGCGCGACUUAAAGAGCAAAGGGUGGCGCCGCAGCGCCAACCCUAGGUUUUGGACAGUAAAGAAUGUUUAUAAGUAUAACAUGAACAGUAACUCAGUAAUAAUAAGCUGAGGAACUUAAUAAGUUAUGAUAAGGUAUUGAUAAACCUUAUUUAUGUUGUCUAAUGGUUGAAGAUAAGUAAUCAAUCAUGAACGUAAUGAAACAAUGUAACGAAAAGCCGGAACCAAUAAUAAAUCUAAGUCAGGAUUAGAUUGAGAUGAAGGGUAAGAUCUAGUGGCAUAAAUACUUGAUUAUAUAUGACCUAAUAUGGUACGUUAUGUGAUCAUGUAUUGUAGAGACUUAGAGACUUAAAGUGUACAUGUGAUAAAUAGUAAGCAGACGCUAAAAGCAAGUAUUCUAACCCUUGUUCUAGUUCAGUAUGGACAAGCUUUGUAAUUCAUGUAUUCUUUCGCAUGAAGUCUUGAAUGAUAAAGUCAAAGCCAAUUCUUUCGGCUAGACUUAUAUUAUGAUUCUAUCAAGCAUGAUCAAUGUUUAUCGAGCUAUAUUGGUGUGGUUUUCAAACGAAGACUGAGUAUGCUAAAAAUGUUUUUGUCGUUUAACGACAGGCACGUGAGGUUGCCACAACUUAAACGUAUACACGUUUAAGGAAUGUAGUGUUGAUCAACAUAGAGUACUAUAGGUUGAUCACCUAAACGUGCUCGUAAGUAAUGUCAGACUUACGGACUUAGUGCCGGGACGUCCUUUUCAAAAGAACUUAUGAAAUGCUCAAGGUCUUGGACCGGAAGAAUUGAUGUUUUUAUUGAAUAUUGUGGUUGUAAAAUGUUUUGAAUGAAAAGAAGUGCUAUUUUGAAUUAUCGAUAGUACUUCAUAACUAUUGUUCAGUUAUUGAAGAUAUACGAGUUCUAUGUUUCAAGCAUGUUGCUUAUUAGAAUUGUAGUACUUUCUGAGCUAGUCAUGCUCACUCUUGCUUGAACCAUAUGAACACAGCUAAGAUCGAGCGGACCGAAGGCUCUGGCAAGGAUAAGGGCAAGGCGAUGACGAACCCUUAGAUUGCUUAUGUAAUAGUAUAGGUGAAUGUUUGUAAUAUAUUGAAUAUUAUGACAAGAACGAAUGAAUGGGUUAUAAAGAACCUGGGGAAAUGUAAUAUUAUUUUGAAUAUAUAGAAGAUAUAUUCGUUCUUUUGAGACUUUUCAAUUGAAUGUAUGUGUGAAUGGUAGUACCGUGUAGCACCAUCUGUCAAGUUGGAAGAUACCCAGAUUUGGGGGCGUCACAGGUUGGUAUCAAAGCAUUAGUUUAUAAAACUUAAGGGGGGAUUAAAAAACUUAAGUCAUAACCUUAAGAGAAGUCAAAGAAGUAAAAGAAGAAAAUAACCUUAUAAAAAUGCAUUAUGAUUAUGUUAUGUGUUUUUAUUAUUCUACUAACGUGUACUAAUCAACUUAAUUGUUUUGUGUAGAUGUCAGGAGUAAAUGGAAUGUAUGUAGAUGGUCAGGCCAUUAGUGAAGAGUCGGUGAACCAAGUAGAGGUUAUAUCAAACCCCAUAGCAGCAGAUCCGGAGGUAGUGGUUAUUGAGUCUAGAGACUCGGAUGAUGCUGACUUCAUGUCAGUAUUCGAUGGGAUGAUAGAGGAGGAAGUGGAGACAGUGUACUUUAAUCCAGUAGUUAUAGCAGCGGAGAUACUACUGGGGGGUCGAUGAUGUCUCUGUUCAUGUCAGUAUUGGAUAGAAAUAUCCAUUACUAUUAGGAGGUCAAGGAGCUGAGAGCAGAGCUCCAAGCUGUAAUAGAGGACAAGACUGGCGUUGAGUCCAUGUGGGAGUAGGAGCAUGAUGAGAGGAUUUUGGCUAAGGACAAAGUCCACGAGUUAAAGCAUGAGGUCUUUGAGCUCAAGGAGGAGCUAAAGACCAAAAUCCAGAAGAUAGGGAGAAUGUCCUAUAUUCAUAGGAGUUCUCAUACAGAUUUCCAACAGCAGGUAGCUGGAUAUCCUGUAGAGGUGGGGAAGACGCGGCAUACUAUUAGCCGUGAUAUCAUUGCCGGUAUUGCCAAGGUAGAUUUCGAGAAUACCUUAAAGCAGAUGUAAACUAGUAGUAGCUAGAGUAGUUUCAGUAUGUAAAUAUUUUGUAAUUAGUAGUGACGUAAAGCCCUCUUUGUAUAGUAAAGGGUAGUCUUUUGUAAAUCCCAAUUUUUGGAAAGCAAUAGUAGGAAGGUAAUGUAAUCAACUUAGGUUGUGUAAUGUAACCGAUGUAGUAUUAUACUACAAAGAAUGAAUAUAAGCCUUUUUAUGGAAAACAAUGAGUAAUGGAUGUUGAAGUUAUUGUUUAAUAUUAAAUGAUAACUAAUAAAGAAAGGAAUAAUAACGAAAUGUGUUUAUUGUAUCAGCAAAAUGCUGUCGAGAAGAGUGCAACGUAACCAAGGAACUAACGUGAAUCAACCGGAGGGAGGUCCGGUUAACCCGAUGCAGGAGUUUGUUAACCUGUUAACAGCUGCCUUUAAUAGAACAGGGGCUAAUAUCCCCGUAAAUCCAGGAGUAGCACGAGCUACUACCUUUAAGGAUUUCAAGAGCGUUGGUCCACCGGAGUUCAAAGGAACUAUGGACCCUAUUGAAGCCCAAAUGUGGGUUAAGGAAAUAGAGAAGGCAUUUGUGAUAGCAAAUAUUGACGAGGCCCAAAAGGUUGCCUUUGCAACCUAUAUGAUGAAGGGAGAGGCCAACUUUUGGUGGGAAGCCAAUCAGGCUAGGGUCGGGAUAGCAAAUAUGACGUGGGAGAGGUUCAAGGAGAUAUUCUUCGAGAAAUACUUUCCCACGAGCAUGCAGGGAAGGAUGGAGAUACGAUUUCUGGAGUUGAAACAAGGGGACAUGACGGUACCCCAAUACGCCACCAAGUUGAAUGAACUGGCAUGGUUCUCUCCACAUCAAGUGGAUACUGAGGUUAGGAAGGCGCGACGGUUCAAGCAGGGCUUGAAACCCUGGCUCUAUAACCGUAUUUUGGUGUUCCAAAGUACUUCUUUUGGAACCAUUUUAGAGAAGGCGAUAAUCGCCGAGGGUGGUAGUGAGGCUCUGAGUCAAUAUCACAAAGACAAGAAGAGCAAGGGAAAAGUAGAUGGGGAGUAAAGGUUGAAGGAGCCAGCGGUAGUGGCGAGGGACAGAAGAGGAAGGUGAUUAGCUCUGGGAAUACCGGAGUGAAGCAAAGAGACCCAAAGAGGAGAAUGGAGGCAUUCAAGACCUAUGGGAAGACUUACUUAGGAGUCUGUUUUAAGGGGAAGGCAAUUUGUUACAACUGUGGACAGGAAGGGCACAUUGCGCAUAAUUGUUCGAGUCCAAAAAAGAAUCACGGAUGCUUGGUGUGUGGGUCAACCGACCACAUGGCAAAGAACUGACCGGAGAAGGGGACGAACGAGAACCAGGGCACUAAUAUCGGUAAGUUAGCUAUUAGUGGUCCAGCGCAGCCGGGUAGGCCGAUGGGCCGUACCUUUAACAUGACAGUCCAAGAUGCAUUUGCAUCAGGGGACGUCGUCACAGGUAUUAUUCCGAUCAACGACAUAAAUGCUUACGUGCUGUUUGAUUCGAGUGCUACUUGUUCGUUUAUAGCAUGCGAUUUUGCUAGACGAUUAGGAUUACUUCCCAAAAAGUUGCCUAUACCUUUAAAUAUUAAGUUAGCAAAUGAAGAAAUAAUUCCUGUUAAAGAUGUUCAUAGGAGUUGUUGCGUAGAUAUACGUGGUUGUAAAUUAUCGGUAGAUUUGUUACCGAUAAAGUUAGGAGAAUUUGUUGUAAUUCUCAGAAUGGAUUGGUUAGUUAACCAUGGGGCAAUUAUAGAUUGUCAAAAGAAAUGUGUGAACAUUAAAUCGUUAAGACAACCUCAGGUAGUGUUUUACGGGAAUAGAUCGCCGGGACGUUCGUGUUGUCUAACCAUGACACAAACUAGAAAAUUAUUGAGGAAGGGAUGUGUAGGUUAUCUGUGCCAUGUUGUUGAUGUAAGACCCCAACUUUUAUGAAUAAAGAUUAAUUUCUCUCGAAAUAUAUUUUUGAAUAUUAUGGUGUGGAUAUAAUAUAAUGUUAUAGUUGUGGCUAAUAUUUAUAAAUUUUGCAAAGUAAGCAAGUGGUUAUAUAAUAUUCGAUUGGUUGGGGAAUAUUCAUUUUAACAGGGAAUAUUCAUACGACGACACAAUCAUUGGUGGACCCCACAAUGGAAGUAUUGUCGUAGUUAAAAAAUGACAUAAUUAUCUUUUUAUAAAAAUAACAGCAGAAGUUUUACCGUUAAACUGUUGAACUACCCGAUAGUAAAAGUGUGACUCCCCCAAAUCCGGGUCUCUUCCAACCCGACAGAUGGUGCUACACGGUACUACCAUUCAUUCAUUCAUUCAAUUGAAUAGUCUCAAAAGGACUAAUAUAACUUCUAUAUAUCCAAAAUAAUAUUACAUUCCCCAGGUUCUUUGUAACCCAUUCGUUUGUUCUUGUCAUAAUAUCAAAUAUAUUACAAAUCGUUCAACUAUUCUAUUAAAUAAGCAAUCUAAGGGUUCGUCUUCGCCUUGUCCUUGUCCUUGCCUGAGCCUUUAGUCCGCUCGAUCUUAGCUGUGUUCAUAUAGUUCAAGCAAGAGUGAGCAUGACUAGCUCAGCAAGUACUAUAAUUCUAAUAAACAACAUGCUUGAAACAUAGAACUCAUAUAUCUUCAGUAACUGAACAAUAGUUACGAAGUACUAUCGAUAAUUCAAAAUAGCACUUCUUUUCAUUCAAAACGUUUUCCAACAACAAUAUUUAGUAGAAUAUCAACUAAGGCUUAAAACUAUGAGCAAUUCAUAAUUUCUUUUGAAAAGGACAACCCGACACUAAGUCCGUAAGUCCGACAUAGCUUACGAGCACUUUUGGGUGAUCAGCCCAUAGUACUCUAUGUUGAUCAACACUAAAUUCAUUAAAUGUGUAUACGUUUAAGUUGUGGCAACCUCGCAUGCCUGUCGUUAAACGACAAAAACAUUUUAGUAUACUUGGUCUUCGAUUGAAAACCAUACCAAUAUAACUCGGUAAACAUAAAUCAUGCUUGAAAGAAUCAUAAUAUAAGUCUAGCCAAAAGAAUUGGCUUUAGACUUCAUCGUUCAAAACUUCAUGUGAAAGAAUACAUGAAUUACAAAACUUAUCCAGACUGAACUGGAACAAGGGUUAGAAUACUUGCCUUCAGCGUCUGCUUACUGAUUAACACACGUACACUUUAAGUCUCUACGUUUCUACAAUACAUGAUCAUAUAACAUACCACAUUAGGUUAUAUAUAAUCAAGUAUGUAUACUAUUAUAUCUUACCCUUCAUCUCAAUGUAAAUCCUGACUUAGAUCUACUAUUAUGGGUUUUCGGCUUUCAUUACGUCAUUCACAUUACGUUCACUUUCAAUUGAUUAUUAACUCUUAAUCAUCAUGCAUUAGUGUCUUACAAGUACCUUACAAUGUUAUGUUUAUAUCUCAGUUCAUUACUAACAAGUUCCUUUUCAUUCUACACUUGUAAACAUUCUUGUCCAACAAAACUCUAGGACAGGCGCCGCGGCGCCACACUUAACUCUGCAUCUCGCGCCGUGGCGCAAGUUAGCAGUAUGCAUGGUUCUAGCCUCGCGCUGCAGCGCGGGCUUUAAGGCUGUGAGUCGCGCCGCGGCGCGGACUCUAUGCCUCAGAUAGUUUGCAAAAUUUUGAAAAUUUCACGAAACUCCCGGAUGCAUAACUUCUUCGUUAUAAGUCCGAAUUGGUCCGUUUAAAAGACUAAGGUUCAGAAAUUACAUACUCUAUGCGUUCAUGCAAGAAUUUUAUCUAUUUGACUUCGUUUGCUAAAAUUUCACCUUUGAGUUCAUUUUUAACGAAAACGAUAAACGUUUGUGAACGUUCAACUCUCGUUUCUUCGUUCUAAGUCGGAAUUCAAUCAUUUUCGAGUCCGCAACUCUAUAAUUCCAAAUAUGACUUGUCUCCAUCAAAAACCAACGUUUCCGAAUUCAAACACAAAAUACGACUUCCAUUCCAAGAAUUUCACGAAUUUGACGAUAAUCGUCCAAUCGUGUGAAUUCCGACAAAACUACAUUCUUACUGAUUCUAAAUGGAUUUUAAUCAACAUAAGAUCAUUACAAGUUACUUAUUAAACCAACUUAUAAACAAAGUAGGUUUUGACAUAUUCUCAUAAGUCAUUGAUUUAUUCAACUUAUGAACUAUAAAUCUUCAUGCUCAUGACUUAUUAAUAACUUAAGUCCACUAAUCAAUGUUCUUAUGCUAUAUUCAACAUACUAAUCAUCAUAUGACAACAUAUGAUAAGUUCUUCAUGGUUCUAGCAACUUAUUAAUGUUCAAGUUGCUUAUCCAAAUUAUUCGGCUUAAGUUCAUUCCUUAUUAACCUAUUACAUGAUCUUAGAAUACAUGUUCAUUAAUAACACUUCCCUUAUCAUCCUAUUAUAAUAGAGAUGAAAGAACAUUGGACACAAGAUCAUUACCUUUGAAGUCUAACUUCUUCUUCUUGGAAAAUCUAACUUUGACUUAAAAGUGCUUAUUUGCUCUACCAAAUAAGUAGCUUAUAUUUGAGAGGAGUUGGAUGAAAUAACAACCAACAAAAAUUGAAAUGAGCCUUCUAUUUAUAGGCCAUCCAAAUCUAGGGUAGAAUGGUCAUUAUAACCUUCCACCUCCUUAACUAACCUCCUCAUUCCACCUCCUUAAUCCUCCACCUCCUUACUAUUCAUAACCUAGCAAUUAAGUAAACUUGCUAGCCACUUCUAAAACUUGGUCACCACACUUUUUGUUUUCCCAUCAAGCUUACCCAUUUUACACUAGGUUUGACCCAUGGAUCAAGGCUUUUCAUUGGGCUUUGAUAAUUAAUCUAACUACUUUCUUAAUGGGCUUGUGCUACAUAGUUUGGACUAAUGAUAUAUCAAACACUUGGGCUUGAUUGUCACAUUAUAUUGGACUUCUCUUAUUAGGCUAAUAAUCCUACAAGUCCAUUACCUCUUAUUAAUCAACUUAACAUUUACCCCAUGUAUAAUUCUCAUAUACUAACUCGUAUAUUAAUUCGUAAUAUACGUUAUUUCAUUCUUCAUACAUAAUAGUACAAUACGUCGUAUUAUACUUACAUUCAUUACCUUCAUAUAAUGAAUACACAUUAUACGAUCACAACUUUCUUCCUUUAACGCUUAAUAAACCCAACGUUCCCAAAUUAAGUCUGCAUGCAAAAUAUUACGUUUUCCAUACAUAGAUUAUUAUUACAUAAUCGAUAUCACCUUGAUAGUAUAACGUUACGUAUUUCUCGGAAGUUCAAAAAUAAUUUCCGAGCAUAAAUCGAUGAAUAGUGUUUUUCAGAAAAUUUCUCGGAAAACUUUUAUUUUCGUCUUAAUAAUUCAAACACCUUAAUUCUCUCACGUAGUUAAAAUACUACUACAUUCCGACAUUUCUAGGUUAUAGAACGACAUUCAUCUUAUCAACACGUAAUAAUAAUAAAUAAUAUUAUUUUAUUCAUUAUUAAAAGUAUUUACAAUUGUUCAAUUUUCUGGGGCGUUACAUUCUCUCCCCCUUAUAAGGAUUCUAUCCCCAGAAUCUCGCUAUAUAAAAAAAAAAUUACACAAAUAAUUGAGGGUAAUUCUUUUUCACCAUUUCUUCUAACUCCCACGUUGCUUCUUCUGCAUCGUGGUUCUUCCAUAACACCUUCACGGAAGAUAUGACUUUAUUCCGCAGAACUUGUUCUUUUCUAUCGAUAAUUUGAAUCGGCGUUUCCUCGUACGUUAACUCCUUCUCGAUAUGAAUAGGCUCAUAUUCUAUCACGUGCUUAUAAUCUGGCUUAUAAGGAGGUAACACGGAUACGUGAAAUAUAUUAUGUAUUCGUUCUAGGUCUGGAGGUAAUGAUAUCAUAUAAGCUACCUCACCUACCCAUUUUAAUACCUUAAAAGGUCCUAUAAACCUCGGACUUAACUUUCCCUUCUUUCCAAAACGUAUCUUUCCUUUCUAGGGAGAUACUUUUAGGAAUACGUAUGAACCUACUUUAAACUCCCGAUUCUCUCUAUGCAGAUCCGUAAACUUCUUUUGUCUAUCUUGAGCUACUAGAAGACGUAUUUGUAUCUUGUUAACAAUAUCCGCUGUCUGUUGCACCAACUCUGGUCUAAACAUUUGGCGUUCUCCUACCUCAUCCCAAUACAGUGGCGUUCUGCAUUUCCUCCCAUACAAAGCUUUGUAAGGUGGCAUACCUAUGCUUGUAUGAUAACUGUUGUUAUACGCAAACUUCACUAAUGGUAGAUGAUCAUCCCAACUACCCUUGAAAUCAAUGAUGCAAGAUCUUAGCAUAUCUUCUAACGUCUGAAUUGUCCUCUCGCUCUGUCCAUCCGUUUGUGGAUGAUAUGCUGUACUCAAAUUCAACUGCGUUCCUAACUGCUCUUGUAGACUCCUCCAAAAGUUUGAUGUGAAUCGUGGAUCACGAUCUGAGACAAUUGAUACUGGUACUCCAUGUCUAGAGAUUAUUUCCUUAAUAUAAAGUCUAGCUAAUUGGUCUAAGUUAUACUUGACCCUAAUUGGCAAAAAGUGAGCCGACUUUGUCAACCGGUUCACUAUUACCCAAAUCGCAUCAUACCCCUUCUGAGUAGUCGAAAGUCCCACCACAAAAUCCAUCAUGAUAUUCUCCCAUUUUCACUCCGGAAUUUCUAAUGAUUGUAGCAAGCCACUGGGUCAUUGAUCUUCGACCUUAACUCUCUGACAAGUCAAGCACCUACUCACAUAUUCGGCGAUCUCUCUCUUCAUGUUCGGCCACCAGAAACUCUGUCGAAGAUCUUGAUACAUCUUAGUGCUACCAGGAUGAAUCAAAAACCUUGAAUUAUGAGCCUCUUGCAACACCUGCUCCUUCAAUUCCAUCUCAUUCGAAACCCAAAUUCUUCCUUCAAAUCUUAAUAAUCCCUCAUUAUCAAGACUGUACUUAGUAUCUUUUUCAUUGGCUAGCCGCUCCUUUACCCGGUCGCACUCAUCCAUUUUGAGUUGUACCUCUUUAACUCUCUCUACGAUGGUAGAUUGCAUCUCCGUCACAAACAGCAUUUAUCCUCCUUGACUUGGCAGCUUCACUUCCAACUCCAUCCUAGCCAUCUCUGUUAUCAACUCAGUUUGAGCCGUCAAUAAAGACAACUUUUCCCGACCCUUCCUACUUAAGGCGUCGGCAACUACAUUGGCUUUUCCAGGGUGAUACAGGAUUUCACAGUCGUAAUCCUUUAUCAACUCCAGCCAUCUCCUCAGCCUCAUAUUCAACUCCUUCUGUGUGAAGAUAUAUUUUAGACUUUUGUGGUCCCUGUAUAUCUCACAUUUUUCUCCAUAAAGAUAAUGUCUCCAUAUCUUUAGGGCAAAAACUACUACGGCCAGUUCCAGAUCAUGAGUAGGGUAAACUUUCUCAUAAUCCUUCAACUGCCUAGAUGCAUACGCAAUGACCUUGCUAUGCUGCAUGAACACACAACCAAGUCCUCUAUGUGAAGCAUCGCUAAAUUUCCUGUGUCAUCAGGCAAUGAAAAAAUAGGCGCUUCACUCAAUCUCUUCUUUAGUUCUUGAAAACUAUCCUCGCACUUGUCAGUCCAAGCGUAUUUCACUAUCUUCCUCGUCAAGUUAGUCAACGGAGUAGCUAUCUUCGAAAAGUCCUAGAUGAAUAUUCGAUAGUAACCUGCUAACACUAGGAAACUCCGCACCUCGGUCAGCGUUUUCGGCUGUUCCCAAUUCAUCACGGCUUCCACCUUCGCUGGAUCUACUAAAAUUCCCUCAUGGUCAAUGACAUGACCUAAAAAUUGCACCUUCUCCAACCAAAAUUCACACUUAGUGAACUUCGCAUACAAUUUCUCCUUCCUAAGUGUCUCCAACACUAAUCUUAGGUGUUCAGCAUGAUCUUCCGGCAUCUUAGAAUAGACUAGAAUAUCAUCUAUAAACACCACAGCGCACUUGUCCAAAUAUUGUUUGAACACUCUGUUCAUCAUAUCCAUAAAUGCAGAUGGUGCAUUUGUCAACCCAAACGACAUCACCAGAAACUCGUAAUGACCAUAACGAGUCCUGAAUGCUGUCUUUGGCAUAUCCUCCUUCCUAACCUUCAACUGAUGAUACCCCGUUCUUAAAUCUAUUUUUGAAAAAUACUUUGCCCCUUUCAACUGAUCAAAGAGAUCAUCGAUCUUGGGCAAUGGGUAUUUAUUCUUUAUCGUUAACUUGUUCAACUCUCGAUAGUCGAUACACAGUCUUAACGAUCCGUCCUUCUUCUUGACAAAUAGUACCGGUGCUCCCCAUGGCGAAACACUCGGUUGAAUGUACUUCCUGUCUAACAGUUCUUGUAACUGCACCAUCAACUCCUUCAUCUCCACUGGCGCCAUACGAUACGGUGCCCUAGAAACUGGUGCCGCUCCUUGCACAAUGUCUAUCACAAACUCUGUCUCCUUAUCCGGCGGAAGACCCGACAAUUCACUCAGAAAUACAUUGACGAAUUCUAUCACUACAGGUAUUUGUUCCAUGGUUGCUACCACUCUUUGGGUAUCAACAACAUGACACAGAUAACCUACGCAUCCCUUUCUCAGUAAUUUCCUAGUUUGUGUCAUGGUUAGACAACACGAACGUCCCGGCGAUCUAUUCCCGUAAAAUACUACCCGAGGUUGUUCUAACGUCUUAAUGUUCACACAUUUAUUUUGACAAUCUAUAAUUGCCCCAUGGUUUACUAACCAAUCCAUUCCGAGAAUUACAUCGAAUUCUCCUAACUUUAUCGGUAACAAAUCUACUGAUAAUUUACAACCACGUAUAUCUACACAACAACUUUUAUGAACAUCUUCAACAGGAAUUAUCUCUUCAUUUGCUACAUUAAUAUUUAAAGGUAUAGGCAACUUUUCGGGAAGUAAUCCUAAUCGUCUAGCAAAAUCACAUGCUAUAAACGAACAAGUAGCACCCGAAUCAAACAGCACGUACGCAUUGAUAUUGUUGAUCGGAAUAAUACCUGCGACGACAUCCCCCGAUGCAACUGCAUCUUGGACUGUCAUAUUAAAGGUACGACCCAUCGGCCUACUCGGCUGUGCUGGACCCCCAAUAGCUAACUUACCGCUAUUAGUGCCCCGAUUCCCGUCCGUCCCCUUCUUCGGGCAAUUCUUUGCCAUGUGGUCAGUUGACCCACAAACAAAGCAUCCGUGAUUCUUCUUCGGACUUGGACAGUUAGCCGCAAUGUGCCCCUCCUGUCCAUAGUUGUAAUAGACGGCCUUCCCCUUGAGAUAGACUCCUAGAUGAGUCUUCCCACAGGUCUUGCAGGCCUCAAUUAUUUUCUUCGGGUCUCCUUGCUUCACUCCGGUAUUCCCAGAUCUAAAUACCUUCCUUUUCUGACCCUCGCCACUACCACUAGCUCCCUCGAUCUUUACUCCCCCAUCUACCUUACCCUUAUUUUUCUUUUCUUUGUGGUAUUGGCUCAACGCCUCACUACCACCUUCGACGAUUAUCGCCUUCUCUAAAAUGGUCCCAAAAGAAGUACUUUGGAACAUCGAUAUGCGGUUAUAGAGCCAGGGUUUCAAGCCCUGCUCGAACGGACGCGCCUUCCUCACCUCAGUAUCCACUUGAUGUGGAGCGAACCUUGCCAGUUCAUUAAACUUGGCGGCGUAUUGGGGAACCGUCAUGUCCCCUUGUUUGAACUCCAAAAAUCGCAUCUCCAUCCUCCCUUGCAUGCUCGUGGGAAAGUAGUUCUCGAAGAAUAUCUCCUUGAACGUAUCCCACGUCAGAUAUGCUAUCCCAACCUUAGCCUGAUUGGCUUCCCACCAAAAGUUGGCCUCUCCCUUCAUCAUAUAGGUCGCAAAGGCAACCUUUUGGGCCUCGUCGACAUUUGCUAUUACAAAUGCCUUCUCUAUCUCCUUAACCCACAUUUGGGCUUCAAUAGGGUCCGUAGUUCUUUUGAACUCCGGCGGACCCACGCUCUUAAAAUCAGUAAAGGUAGUAGCUCGUGCUACUCCUGGAUUUAUGGGGAUAUUAGCCCCUGUUCUAUUAAAGGCAGCUAUUAUCAGAUUAACAAACUCCUGCAUCGGAUUAACUGGACCUCCCUCCGGUUGAUUUACGCUUGCAUCUUGAUUACGUUGCACUCUUCUUGGCGGCAUUUUGCUGAUAUAAUAAACACAUUGCGUUAUUAUUCCUCUCUUUAUUAGUUAUCAUUUAAUAGUAAACAAUAACUCCAACAUCCAUAACACAUUGGUUUCCAUAAAAAGGACUUAUAUUCAUUCUUUGUAGUAUAAUACUACAUUGGUUACAUACACAGCCUAAGCUAAUUACAUUACUUUCCCGCUAUCGCUUUCCAAAAAUUGGGAUUUACAAAAGACUACCCUUUACUAUACAAAAAGGGCUUUACGUCACUACUACUUACACAAUAUUUACAUAUUAAUCUAUCUACCACUAGUCUACAUCUGCCUCAAGGCAUUAUCGAAAUCUGCCUUGGCAAGACCGGCAAUAAUAUCACGGCUAAUAGUAUACCGUGUUUGCCCCACCUCUACCAGAUAUCCAGCUACAUGCUGCUGGAAAUCCAUAUGAGAACUCCUAUAGAUAUAGGACAUCUUCCCUAUCUUCUGCACCUUAGUCUUUAGCUCCUCCUUGAGCACAAAGACCUCGUGCUUUAAAUCCUGGACUUUGUCCUUAGCUAAAAUCCUCUCGUCAUGUUCCUGCUCCCACAUGGACUCGACAUCAGUCUUGUCCUCUAUAACCAUAUGGAGCUCUGCCUUCAACUCCUUGACUUCCUGACAGUAAUGGAUAUUUCUAUCCAACACUGACAUGAAAAGAGACAUCAUCGACCCCCCAGGAGCUAACUCUGCUGCUAUAGCCACCGGAUUAAAGGAAAUUGUCUCUACCUCCUCCACUAUCAUCCCGUCAAAUACUGGCAUGUAGUCAGCUUCCUAUGAGUCUCCAGACUCAAUAAUCACUACAUCUAGCUCUGCUGCUAUAGGGUUUGGUAUAACCUCUACUUGGGUCACCGAUUCUUCGCUAAUGGUUUGCUCAUUUACAAACAUCUGUUAACUCCCGACAUCUACACAAAACAAUUAAGUUGAUUAGUACACGUCAAUAGAAUAAUAAAAACACAUAACAUAAUCAUACUGCAUUUUUAUAAUGUUAUUUUCCUUUCCUGUACUUCUUUGACUCCUCUUAAGGUUAUGACUUAAGUUUUUAAUCCCCCCCUUAAGUUUUAUAACCUAAUGCUUUGAUACCAACCUGUGACGCCCCCAAAUCCGGGUCUCUUCCAACCCGAAAGAUGGUGCUACACGGUACUACCAUUCAUUCAUUCAUUCAUUCAAUUGAAUAGUCUCAAAAGGACUAAUAUAACUUCUAUAUAUCCAAAAUAAUAUUACAUUCCCCAGGUUCUUUGUAACCCAUUCGUUUGUUCUUGUCAUAAUAUCAAAUAUAUUACAAAUCGUUCAACUAUUCUAUUAAAUAAGCAAUCUAAGGGUUCGUCUUCGCCUUGUCCUUGUCCUUGCCUGAGCCUUCAGUCCGCUCGAUCUUAGUUGUGUUCAUAUGGUUCAAGCAAGAGUGAGCAUGACUAGCUCAGCAAGUACUAUAAUUCUAAUAAACAACAUGCUUGAAACAUAGAACUCAUAUAUCUUCAGUAACUGAACAAUAGUUACGAAGUACUAUCGAUAAUUCAAAAUAGCACAUCUUUUCAUUCAAAACGUUUUCCAACAACAAUAUUCAGUAGAAUAUCAACUAAGGCUUGAAACUAUGAGCAAUUCAUAAUUUCUUUUGAAAAAGGACAACCCGACACUAAGUCCGUAAGUCUGACAUAGCUUACGAGCACUUCUGGGUGAUCAGCCCAUAGUACUCUAUGUUGAUCAACACUACAUUCAUUAAACGUGUAUACGUUUAAGUUGUGGCAACCUCACGUGCCUGUCGUUAAACGACAAAAACAUUUUAGCAUACUUGGUCUUCGAUUGAAAACCAUACCAAUAUAACUCGGUAAACAUAAAUCAUGCUUGACAGAAUCAUAAUAUAAGUCUAGCCGAAAGAAUUGGCUUUAGACUUCAUCGUUCAAAACUUCAUGCGAAAGAAUACAUGAAUUACAAAACUUGUCCAGACUGAACUGGAACAAGGGUUAGAAUACUUGCCUUCAGCGUCUGCUUACUGAUUAACACACGUACACUUUAAGUCUCUACGUUUCUACAAUACAUGAUCAUAUAACAUACCACAUUAGGUUAUAUAUAAUCAAGUAUGUAUACUAUUAUAUCUUACCCUUCAUCUCAAUGUAAAUCCUGACUUAGAUCUACUAUUAUGGGUUUCCGGCUUUCAUUACGUCAUUCACAUUACGUUCACUUUCAAUUGAUUAUUAACUCUUAAUCAUCAUGCAUUAGUGUCUUACAAGUACCUUACAAUGUUAUGUUUAUAUCUCAGUUCAUUACUAACAAGUUCCUUUUCAUUCUACACUUAUAAACAUUCUUGUCCAACAAAACUCUAGGAUUGGCGCCGCGACGCCACACUUAACUCUGCAUCUCGCGCCGUGGCGCGAGUUAGCAGUAUGCAUGGUUCAAGCCUCGCGCUAUAGCGCGGGCUUUAAGGCUGUGAGUCGCGCCGCGGCGCGGACUCUGUGCCUCAGAUAGUUUGCAAAAUUUUGAAAAUUUCACGAAACUCCCGGCCGCAUAACUUCUUCGUUAUAAGUCUGAAUUGCUCCGUUCAAAAGCCUACGGUUCACAAAUUACAUAUUCUAUGCGUUCAUGAAAGAAUUUUAUCUAUUUGACUUCGUUUGCUAAAAUUUCACCUAUAAGUUCAUUUUUAACGAAAACGAUAAACAUUCGUGAACGUUCAACUCUCAUUUCUUCGUUCUAAGUCGGAAUUCGAUCAUUUUUGAGUUCGCAACUCUAUAAUGCCAAAUAUGACUUGUCUCCAUCGAAAACCAACAUUUUCUACUUCAAACACAAAAUACGACUUCUAUUUCGAGAAUUUCACGAAUUCGACGAUAAUCAUCCAAUCGUGUGAAUUCCGGCAAAACCACAUUCUUAAUGAUUCUAAACGGAUUUUAAUCAACAUAAGAUCAUUACAAUUUUUAUUGGAUGAAAUAACAACCAACAAAAAUUAAAAUGAGCCUUCUAUUUAUAGGCCAUCCAAAUCUAGGGUAGAAUGGUCAUUAUAACCUUCCACCUCCCUAACUAACCUCCUCAUUCCACCUCCUUAAUCCUCCAGCUCCUUACUAUUUAUAACCUAGCAAUUAAGUAAACUUGCUAGCCACUUCUAAAACUUGGUCACCACACUUUUUGUUUUCCCAUCAAGCUUACCCAUUUUACACUAGGUUUGACCCAUGGAUCAAGGCUUUUCAUUGGGCUUUGAUAAUUAAUCUAACUACUUUCUUAAUGGGCUUGUGCUACAUAGUUUGGACUAAUGAUAUAUCAAACACUUGGGCUUGAUUGUCACAUUAUAUUGGUCUUCUCUUAUUAAGCUAAUAAUCCUACAAGUCCAUUAACUCUUAUUAAUCAACUUAACAUUUACCCCAUGUAUAAUUCUCAUAUAAUAACUCGUAUAUUAAUUCGUAAUAUACGUUAUUUCAUUCUUCAUACAUAAUAGUACAAUACGUCGUAUUAUACUUACAUUCAUUACCUUCAUAUAAUGAAUACACAUUAUACGAUCACAACUUUCUUCCUUUAACGCUUAAUAAACCCAACGUUCCCAAAUUAAGUCUGCAUGCAAAAUAUUACGUUUUCCAUACAUAGAUUAUUAUUACAUAAUCGAUAUCACCUUGAUAGUAUAACGUUACGUAUUUCUCGGAAGUUCAAAAAUAAUUUCCGAGCAUAAAUCGAUGAAUAGUGUUUUUCAGAAAAUUUCUCGGAAAACUUUUAUUUUCGUCUUAAUAAUUCAAACACCUUAAUUCUCUCACGUAGUUAAAAUACUACUACAUUCCGACAUUUCUAGGUUAUAGAACGACAUUCAUCUUAUCAACACGUAAUAAUAAUAAAUAAUAUUAUUUUAUUCAUUAUUAAAANNNNNNNNNNNNNNNNNNNNNNNNNNNNNNNNNNNNNNNNNNNNNNNNNNNNNNNNNNNNNNNNNNNNNNNNNNNNNNNNNNNNNNNNNNNNNNNNNNNNNNNNNNNNNNNNNNNNNNNNNNNNNNNNNNNNNNNNNNNNNNNNNNNNNNNNNNNNNNNNNNNNNNNNNNNNNNNNNNNNNNNNNNNNNNNNNNNNNNNNNNNNNNNNNNNNNNNNNNNNNNNNNNNNNNNNNNNNNNNNNNNNNNNNNNNNNNNNNNNNNNNNNNNNNNNNNNNNNNNNNNNNNNNNNNNNNNNNNNNNNNNNNNNNNNNNNNNNNNNNNNNNNNNNNNNNNNNNNNNNNNNUCAUUUCUUACCAAUUCACUAAAGCUUUAGUGCAAUUAUUAUAGAGAGAAAUUAUAGAGAGAAAGAAGAAGAGAAGUCUGCUACCUCACUAUUCCAAUAUCCAGUUUCUUCUAAGGUAAGGGGUAUUAUUCUUUCGUAUUCAUGAAGAGAGUUAUUUUCUUUCAAUACUUAUAAGGGUUGUUAUUCCAUUCUUUAUUAUUAUGUUGGAAUAACCUGUGACGCCCCCAAAAUAGGUAUGCAUCACCCAUCUUGAGUCUCCAAAUACAUGGUACAAAAAUCAAAUACAACUUUAUUAUACAACUGUCGUGUAAAAUACGACAAAAUAUAAACUGAGAGUUUAAACAAGAAUAUUGCCUUCUAGACAAUAUCCACUCUCAAUGGAGUCCUCAUAGAUAGUAUACAAACUCAAAUUCAGUCCUCAUUACAUUUAUUAUCACACUAUUUAACAUAAUAGUGAGGACUACUAAUGCUAUCAUCUGGACUGUUAAUCCGUUCCCCGACUUGUCCCAGCUAUAUUCUCAUUUCCUGAAGAGAACAGUGAAGGAAAAGGUGAGCUCAACUAGCCCAGUAAGAAAUAUUAUGACUAAGAUAAUGCAAAAUAAUUUAUCGUUAUUCUUCAACAAUGUUAAACUGAUAAAAUACAAUAGACAUCAAGUUUAACUGCAGCGGAACAAGCAAUCCAUUAAAAGAGUCAAAUAGAGAAUAAAAUCUACUAUCUUUUAUGAUUUAAAAAGGUUUUUCAUCAUUUUUAUCGCUGAGACUCAGCUUAAUAAAUAAUCCACAUCAUCCCUGCACUACGGCCAAGGAUAUUCAUUAGUAUCACAACCACAAAUUAUCCAUGCACUACGGGCUAAGGAUAUUCGUGUAUUCAUCAAUGGUCACGAUCAUGCCAUAAAAAAAAUUCAUCUUUGCACCCUUGGCCGAAGAGAAUCCAUAGCCAUAAUCAUACCAAAAACUGUCCAUCAAUGCACUACGGGCCAAUGAGGACUUUUCCACAUCAUUUGUAAUAUUACGAUCAUUAUUAUACCGAAUAUUCCCUGGUCAUAAUCAUAGCAAGUCCAUCUAUGCACUACACGCCACAGAUGACUUUCAACAUAAUAUAAACAUGAGGAUGAUGACAAUGAUAUAAGAAUUCAAUGAAACAAGUUCAAGAAUUAAUUUAUCCAGGAACUAAUAACGUCCAAAUUGUCAACAUGAUACUUCUUUGUAGAAUAAAAUUCAAGAAUGCUCAGAAGAAUAUUUCCAUGAAAAGAUACUGAAUGAAGCGCAAAUAUCAAGGAUAUUACACUAAUUUCAUGGAGUAUAGAAGUCAAAACUUUAACUAACUGAGUAUAAUAAAGAAUGGAAUAACAAAAAAAAUCACCAGGCAUGUGAUAGACCACACAGACAGGUUAUUCCAAUAGAAUAAUAAAUAACGGAACCAAGUCAUGCGUAAGCGCACAGACAAGAUAUUCUAAUAGGAUAAUAAUUAACGGAACCAGGUCAGGCGAAUUUUGCACCGACAGGAUGUUCCAACAGAAUAAUAAAUAACGAAACCAGGUCAUGCAUAAACGCACAGACAGGAUGUUCCAACAUAAUAAUAAAGAAUGGAAUAAUAGAAGAAUUUCACCAUGUAUGCGGUACUUCGCAUAGACAGGUUAUUCCAACAUAAUAAUAAAGAAUGGAAUAACAGAAGAAUUUCACCAUGUAUGCGGUACUUCGCAUAGACAGGUUAUUCCAACAUAAUGAUAAAGAAUGGAAUAACAGAAGAAUUUCACCAAGUAUAGGGUAGUCCCCGUAUACAUGUUAUUCUAACAAAAUAAUAAAGAAUGGAAUAACAGAAGUUCUCUUCAUGAAUACAAAAGAAAUAAUACCUCUUACGAGUACAACAAAUAAUAUCCCUUACCUUAGAAGAAACUGGAUAUAGGAGUAGUGAAGUAGCAGAAUACUUUUCUUCUUUCUCUCUAUAGUUUCUCUCUCUAGAGUUUCAGUGAAUUCGUAAGAAAUAAUGAAGGAAUGAGCUUCUAUUUAUAGGAGAAUGGACUGAAUAGUAACUAAUUCAUGAACGGUCCAGAUUGAUUUACUUUUAAACGGACGGUCCAUAUUAAAUUACUAUGCAGUAUUAAUAAAAUAUUCUAAUAAAACAAAAUCUUUUAAAUAAAAUAUAAUAUAUUCUAUUUAUAAUCUAAUAAAAUGAAUAACUUUAUAAAAGUAUUCUGUUUUAUAUAAAAAAAAUUUACUAUGCAAACACUAUGCAGGCACUAUGUAAACACUAUGCAUAAUAAAAUAUAAUAUAUUCUAAUUAUUGUCUAAUAAAAAAAAUAACUUUAUAAAAGUAUUCUGUUUUAUAUAAAAAGAUUUCACUAUACAAAAUACUAUGCAUAAUAUAAUAUAAUAUAUUCUAUUUAUAGUCUAAUAAAACGAAUAACUUUAUAAAAGUAUUCUGUUUUAUAUAAAAAGAUUUUACUAUGCAAAAUACUAUGCGUAAUAGAAUAUAAUAUAUUCUAUUUAUAGUCUAAUAAAAUAAAUAACUUUAUAAAAGUAUUCUGUUUUAUAUAAAAAGAUUUUACUAUACAAACACUAUGCAAAUACUAUACAAACACUAUGCAUGAUAGAAUAUAAUAUAUUCUAUUUAUAGUCUAAUAAAACAAAUAACUUUAUAAAAGUAUUUUGUUUUAUACAAAUUUUUUUUUGUUUUAUUACAUUUAUAAUAAUAAUAAAACAAACUUCAUCAUCAUUAUUAUAAUUCACACUAUUAAUCGACCAGGUCGUUCCCAGGAAAGAGAGGGCUUUCCAAUUAGGUGACCAAACCUCUCCUUGGCAGAACUUCUAGACAUCGCUAAUAUUGCAAAUAAUAAUAUUAAUAACUAUGUCAUCUCAAUUAUUGAUUUAAUACUAUAUAAAAUAUCGGCAAUAAUUAAAUCAAAUAACGUGAGAUACUAUGCAACAAUUACUGAAGCAAUAAUUGAACAAAACUGAGUGACUGAAACAACGCGUAUUACUGUACUUUUACUACCGAGUAGUUCAAGAGUAUUAACGGUAAAACUUCCGCGGUUAUUUUUAUAAAAAUAUUUUUGUCAUUUUCUCAAUUUGACAAUAAUUUCGUUGUGGGGUCCACCAAUGAUUGUGCCGUCGUACGAAUAUUCCCUGUUAAAAUGAAUAUUCCCCGACCAAUCGAAUAUUAUACAACAACUUGCAUACUUUGUAAAAUUUAUAAAUUCUACCCACAACUAUAACAUUAUCUCAAAUCCACACCAUAAUUUUGAAUUUUUUUUUUGAGAAAAUUAAAUCUUUAUUCAUAAAAUUUGGGGUCUCACAUAACCUGUCUAUGCGAAGUAACGCAUACAUGGUGAAAUUCUUCUGUUAUUCCAUUCUUUAUUAUUCUGUUGGAAUAACCUGUUUGUGCGGUCUAUCGCAUGCCUGGUGAAUUCUGUUGUUAUUCCAUUCUUUAUUAUUCUGUUGGAAUAUCCUGUUUGUGCGGAUUACGCAUGACCUGGUUCCAUUCUUUAUUAUUCUGUUGGAAUAUCCUAUCUGUGUGGAUUACACAUGACCUGGUUCCAUUCUUUAUUAUUCUGUUGGAAUAUCCUGUAUGUGCGGAUUACGCAUGACCUGGUUCCAUUCUUUAUUAUUCGGUUGGGAAUAACAUGUCUGUGCGGUCUAUCGCAUGCCUGGUGAAUUCUUCUAUUAUUCCAUUCUUUAUUAUUCUGUUAGAAUAACCUGUCUAUGUUGAUUAUCACAUGCAUGGUGAAUGAUCCUUCGUAUUCAUUCCUUAUUAAAUUGUGAAAAUGAUCUGUCCACGUGGAUUACCGCAUGGUGGGCGAAAAUCCAUUUGCAGUUUCAUAUAUUCUAUUAUACUCAGUUGGUUAAAGUUUUGACUUCUAUACUCCAUGAAAUUAGUAGAAUAUCCUGGAUAUUUUUGCUUCAUCCAGUAUCUUUUCAUGGAAAUAUUCUUCUGAGCAUUCUUGAAUUUUACUCCACAAAGCAGUAUCAUGUUGACAAUUUGGACGUUAUUGAUUUCAGGAUAAAUUAACUUAUAAAUCUUUAAAAUUUAUUCUUGAACUUGUUUUAUUGAAUUAUUAUGUUAUUGUCAUCAUCCUCAUGCUUAUAUUGUGAUGAAAGUCAUCUUUGGCUUACGUGCAUAGAUGGACUCGGUAUGAUUAUGACCAGGGAUUAUUCGGUAUAGGAACUUCCCCUUUCACCACAAACAACUGCUCAUCUGGAAAUUAUUAAGUAAUUAAAACUUUGUCUUCUGCCUCUCUUUUCGGAUUCUCGAGUCGUGAUAAGUGGUCCGCCACUUGGUUUUCAGUGCCCUUUUUAUCCUUGAUCUCCAAAUCAAAUUCCUGCAGUAAUAAAAUCCAUCUGAUCAACCGAGGUUUGGCAUCCUUUUUUGCCACUAAAUGUCGAAUUAUCGCGUGAUCCGUGUACACUAUCACCUUUAUGCCAAUCAGAUAAGCUCAAAUUUAUCAAAGGCAUACACCACUGACAAUAACUCUUUCUCUGUGGUGGUGUAGUUCAACUGUGCAUCUGUAAGGGUUUUGCUGGCAUAAUAUAUCACAUGAAGCAUCUUUUCCUUCCUCUGCCCCAAAGCAGCCCCUACGGCGUAAUCACUGGCAUCACACAUCAGCUCAAAUGGCAAAUCCCAAUCUGGAGCAGUAAUCACUGGUGCUGAAGUUAGUUUCCCCUUUAAGUGCUCAAAUGCCAACACGCAAGCCUCAUCAAAAUUAAACUGUGCAUCCUUCUCCAAUAAAAUGCAUAGUGGUUUAGUUAUCUUAGAGAAAUCCUUGAUGAAUCUGCGGUAGAAACUAGCAUGUUCCAGAAAACUGAGAACACCUUUUAUUGAAGUAGGUGGUGGCAAGUUCUCAAUAGAGUCUAGCUUGGCCUUAUCCACCUCGAGUCCCUUCUUCAAAACCUUGUGUCCCAGUAUGAUUCCUUCUUGUACCAUGAAAUGGCACUUUUUCCAGUUCAACACUAAAUUUAUCUCAACACACCUCUUCAAAACCAUUACCAAAUUUUCAAGGCAUAAGUCAAAUAAGUCCCCGAAGACUGAGAAAUCAUCCAUGAAUACCUCCAUAUUCUGCUCCACCAUAUCCAAAAAUAUAGCCAUAAUGCAUCCCUGAAAGGUGGCUGGAGCAUUGUACAACCCGAAAGACAUCCUUCUGAAAGCAAAAGUGUCAUAUGGACAUGUGAAGGUUGUCUUUUCCUGGUCUUCUGGAGCUAUCACAAUUUGAUUAUAGCCCGAAUAUCCGUCCAGAAGGUAAUAAUACUCAUGACCUGCUAGUCUGUCCAACAUCUGAUUGAUGAACGGUAGUGGAAAAUGAUCUUUCUUUGUAGUUUUGUUGAGCCUGUGGUAGUCCAUGCAGACUCUCCACCCCGUUAUUGUUCAUGUUGGAAUCAACUCAUUAUUAUCAUUAGUCACGAUGGUCAUACUACCCUUCUUCGGCACACACUACACUGGGCUCACCCAUGAGCUAUCUGAAAUUGGAUAGAUUAUGCCUGCAUCCAGCCAUUUCAGUACCUCUUUCUUGACCACUUCUUUCAUUAUCGGAUUAAGCCUUCUUUGUUGCUCCAACGAUGGCUUACUAUCAUCUUCCAACAGGAUCUUAUGCAUGCAAAAAGAAGGGUUGGUCCCUUUGAUAUCUGCUAUGGUCCAUCCAAUAGCUGAUUUGAACUCUCUAAGCACUCGUAGCAGUUUUUCUUCCUGAAAAGAUGUUAGUGCAGAAGAAAUAAUCAUAGGUAGCUUUGAAUCUUUACUUAAAAAUGCAUACCUGAGAUGAUCUGGAAGUGGUUUUAAUUCAAGUUCUGGAGGUAUCUCAAGAGAUGGCUUUAAUUUUACCGAUGUCUCUCCAGCUUUCGUCAAUGGCUCGACAGGUGUUCUGAAUUUUCUGAAUUUUGGAGUGGUAUCCAGAUAUUGCACAAGUUCAUCGAAUUCCUCAUCCUCCAAUUCUGAAUUUUUAGCAAUGACACUCCUCAAUGGUUCAUAAUCCGCCAGACUCUCAACUUCAUCAUUUAAUACACGGUCCACCAAAUCAACUCUGAAACAUUCCUCUUCAUCUGUUGGGAACUUCAUUACCCUGAAGACGUUAAAGGUAACCUCCUAAUCAUGAACACGCAUAGUGAGUUCCCCUUUUUGAACGUCAAUCAAGGUCCUUCCUGUAGCUAGGAAUGGUCUCCCUAGUAUGAUUGGUAUACUCUUAUCUUCCUCGUAAUCCAAAAUGAUGAAGUCAGCCAAAAAGAUAAAUUUGUCCACUUUCACCAAUACAUCUUCAACUAUUCCUCGUUGAUACGUGAUGGAUCUGUCAGCUAGCUGCAAAGAAAUAUUUGUUGGCCUUGGAGCCGGUAAUCCCAACUGAUUGAAUACUGACAAGGGCAUCAAAUAGAUACUUGCCCCAAGAUCACAUAGACACCUACUGAAGCUCAUCUUCCUGAUCGUGCAUGGAAUUGUGAAACUGCCCAGAUCAUUCAGCUUUGGAGGUAAUUUACGCUAAAGCACUGGACUGCAUUCCUCUGUCAAGGCCACUGUCUCGAACUCUUCUAAUCUCCUCUUCCUUGACAAUAUACCCUUCAUGAACUUUGCAUAACUUGGCAUCUGUUCCAAUGCCUCAGCGAAGGGUAUGUUAAUUUGCAGCUUUUUAAAAACCUCCAAGAACUUGCUGAACUGCUUAUCCUCCAUCUGCUUAUUCAAUCUUUGCGGAUACGAAACUUGAGGGUGAACUCUUGGUACUGUACUCACGGGCUUCUCCACUGAACCUGCUUUAUCUUUUUUUGCCUGAUGUAACUCAGAAUCCUCCUUCUUUUCUUUCUCAGGAGACACAGUUUCCUCCUCGCACCCGCGAGGCUUCCUCAGUAUAACAUGGCGCGGCCGCGCGAUGCUCAGUUUCUGCAGUCUUUUUCCCAGACCUUAAUGUGUUCGCUUGACACUAUUCCUUCCAUUCUCUUCGUGGAUUUGCCUCUGUAUUACUUGGAAAUGAACCCUGGGGCCUGUUGUUAAGCAUGCUUGCCAUUUGCCCCAUUUGAGUUUCAAGAUUUUUAAUAGCCACUGAUUGGCUUUUGAUCAUUACCUUCGUGUUUGCCAUGUACUUCAUCAUUAUCUCCUCCAUUUCUGAUUUAUUUUCUUACUGAGGUGCAGAUGGAGUAUGAUGUUGUUGAGAAAAUCUCGGUGGAAAAGGUGGUCUUGGUGUAAACUGUUGCUGCGCUGGCUGUGACUGAAACUGAUUAUUCGGCUGAAACUGAUUCUGUUGAUUUCCUUGAUUAUUUGACCAACAAAAUUUUAGAUGAUUGCAGUUGUUGGAGUUGUAUGUGUUCUGAAAUUGUCCUUGGUCUUUCUUAUAAUUGCUCACAUACUGUACCGACUCCGAGAUGAUAGCACAUUGAUUUGUCGAGUGUGACCCCGCACAAAUCUCACAUAUGAAGGCAACUAUUUUCACUUUUCUCUCUGCCAAUGUAUCUAUUUUCUUUGCCAUAGAUGCCAUCUGUGCCGACAACUGAGUAAUAGCAUCCAUUUCCAAUAAACCUGCAACCUUGGGUUGUGGCAUCCGAGAUGUAGGAUUUUGAAAAUCAUUCGCUGCCAUUGUCUCGAUAAGGUUAUAGGCCUCUUCAUAGUUCUUUGCCCAUAAUGCCCCUCCUGCAGCUGCAUCUAUAAUAGGUCUUGACUGCCAUCCCAAUCCAUUGUAAAAUGUGUUGAUCACCAUCCAAUCUGGCAUACCAUGGUGCGGACACUUCCGUAGCAUCUCUUUGUAUCUCUCCCAGGCUUCGUAUAAGGAUUCACCCUGUUCUUGCUCGAACUAAGUGAUUGCUGUCCUCAUUUUUGCGGUCUUAGCCAUUGGGAAAAACUUGGCUAAAAACUUCUGUGCUAGGUCCUCCCAUGUAGUAAUUGAUCCUGAAGGCAAAGAAUGAAGACAACUUCUCGCUUUAUCCCUCAAUGAGAACGGAAACAGUCUAAGUCUGAUAGCAUCCUCCGACACCCCGUUGUAUCUGAAUGUGUCACAAAUCUCAAUAAAGCUCAACAGGUGUUCAUUCAGAUCAUCUGUAGCAGCACCCCCAAACUGUAUCGAAUUCUGCACCAUCUGAAUAGUGCCCAGUUUUAUCUCGAAUGUAUUAGCUGCUAUCGUUGGUCUGACUAUGCUAGACUGAAGUUCAUUAAUGUUGGGCAUUGGAUAGUCUCUCAGAGCCCGAUGCUCCUCUCUUUGCUCUUCUCUUUGUUCUUCUGCCAUGUUAGAUGUGGUACCCUCUAACUGUGCUUGUAAAUUUCUCUGCACUUUCGCUUUCCAACCUCUCCCGUUAAUAUUAUCCUGUGCUGGUAUCAAUUUGGAAUUAGAUGAUUGCGUGUGCAUAAAAGAUCUACAAGUACCUAAAACCAAAAAAAAACAAAAAUAGAAAUGAGAUAAGAUUAGAUUUGUCUAAGUCAUACAAUAUAGCUUAAAACUGAUGAUAAUUAUUUAAAUUUAAACGCCUUUCCCCAGCAACGACGCCAAAAACUUGUUGCCUCUUUUUUAGUUCCAACAAAAGAGAUCUAACUCAUUCAAGCAUACAUGUGUCAACAAGCAAUACAGAGUAAGUCGAGUAUCGAUCCACAGAGAAAGGUUUCUAACUUAAAUUAUUAUGCAUCAACUAAAUCACUAUUUUUAUAUGUUUAAACUAAUGCUUAUAAUUGUGAAUUACUCUAAAUGCAAAGAUUAACUAAAAUAAGAAUAAUAAUGUAAUAAAUCAAAUCUGGAAAUAAUGGGAUCCUAACUUCAUUUAAUAGUUCACCUAAUUACCACCAUUAUGUAAGAUUAUUCAUGUAUCACAGGAAAUUAGCCAAGAGCACUAAUGUAGACAUAACCAUUUUUCAAUGUAUUAUGACCAACUUACAUAACAUCCACAUGCAAUAGAAACCAUGUAAUCAUCAAUAAAACCAACCUCACUAUAUUUCUAUGUGAAAUUGCAGCAAUAUUGAAUUUAAGCACAAGCCCUUAUAUAACUCAUACGGUGAAACAAUAUAUGUCUAUCUGGUUCACGAAAUACAAAGCUAAGCAAAACAACUCCAUAUACGCAUGCUAUCAUGAUUACAACCAUACUUGCAUGUUAUUUUUCAAUUCCAUACAAGUACAUGAAACGAAUGGUGAUCAAUCAUUCAUGCAUUGAAAACAACCAUAAUAGAAAUUCCUGAUAAUACGCAAACAGUCCAACAAUCAAGCAAUCAAUUAGACUACAUAUUAAAAUUCAUUAGAAUCCCAUAAUGGAGUUUAGUUCAUCGCUGAACCAAAAGCCAUUAUGGGAUCAAAGCUACGCAUGGGAAAUAAAUAAAUAAUUGAAAGAGAAAAGAUAGAAUCGAUCAAACCCAAUUGCUGAUUACAAUCCAAACGUAACGUUCAAAUCCUCACUGAUAUCCAGCAACAAUAAAGUAAAUCAUCCACAAUGAUUGAAAUCCAAAAGAAGAAGUAGAAAAUAUGAAGCUUAUGCUUGGUUUUACGUUGGAAAAAAUCUCUCAAAGUGUAAACCCUAGUUCUAUACUAGAUACAAACCCACACUUUGCGGCGGGAUUAAUCAUUUUGUUAAUAAUAAAUUUAUACAUGCAAUUAAUAAAUUAAAAUAUAAUAAGAAGAUGGUAGAUUGUUGUGCGAUUAUCAAAUUUUAGUAGCAUAUGUUAUAUAGUGUGGCAUAAAAAUUUUAUGUGCAAAUACAUAUCCAAGUAUAUAAUUAAUCUGAUCACUAAACCCCAGAACAUUACAUAACAGUUGUGUGUGUGUAUGUGUAUAUAAAUAUUAAUGUCUUGAUAAAAAUGUUUAUAAUGUAACCAAUAUGGUUAAAAAUGGGUAACUCUUUCAUUCUAAAGCACUAAUAAAUAUUUAGAAAGUGUCAUGCACAAUGCCAUCAAAUUAUUAUAUUGAUAUGAUUGCUAGUGGUAUAUUUGAAGUCUGUUACACAUUACACAAAUCUCACCAAGCCUCAAAUAUCUGACACAUGUACUUGAUGCAUUUUGAAGAGUCCAUGUCUCAUAUAAGCUAAUUACUUGCACCAGAAUUCUAACAUCCAAACGAAAGGGAAAACAAUGAAAGAAUGUCUCAGUUUUGGUCCUCAGACAUGAAGGGAAAGCACAUGUUACAUGCGAAAACUGAAAAGUACGAGAAUUAAUAAUUAUGUUGGAUCUUCAUGUCAAACAAACACCAUGUCCAAAAACAUAGCAGUAUAGCACCGUGUCAUACAUAACACAAUGUUAUAGUUAAAGAACGAAUACAUACCUCAUUAGUUUUUUUUUU